UGGAAGAUAUAGAUAGCAUCAGCAGCC
rnacentral:piRNA from 1 species